rnacentral:rRNA from 1 species
AGAGUUUGAUCCUGGCUCAGAGUGAACGCUGGCGGCAGGCCUAACACAUGCAAGUCGAACGGCAGCACGGGGAGCUUGCUCCCUGGUGGCGAGUGGCGGACGGGUGAGGAAUGCAUCGGAAUCUGCCCAUUUGUGGGGGAUAACCUCGGGAAAC